AGUGAACGCUGGCGGUAGGCCUAACACAUGCAAGUCGAACGGCAGCACAGGAGAGCUUGCUCUCUGGGUGGCGAGUGGCGGACGGGUGAGGAAUACAUCGGAAUCUACUCUGUCGUGGGGGAUAACGUAGGGAAACUUACGCUAAUACCGCAUACGACCUACGGGUGAAAGCAGGGGAUCUUCGGACCUUGCGCGAUUGAAUGAGCCGAUGUCGGAUUAGCUAGUUGGCGGGGUAAAGGCCCACCAAGGCGACGAUCCGUAGCUGGUCUGAGAGGAUGAUCAGCCACACUGGAACUGAGACACGGUCCAGACCCCUACGGGAGGCAGCAGUGGGGAAUAUUGGACAAUGGGCGCAAGCCUGAUCCAGCCAUACCGCGUGGGUGAAGAAGGCCUUCGGGUUGUAAAGCCCUUUUGUUGGGAAAGAAAUCCAGCUGGCUAAUACCCGGUUGGGGUGACGGUACCCAAAGAAUAAGCACCGGCUAACUUCGUGCCAGCCGCCGCCGUAA
rnacentral:rRNA from 1 species